rnacentral:misc_RNA from 1 species
UUUCCACUUAGCAGAACUCCAAUCCAUCUGAUCCAACUUCAGGGUCAUCUUAACAUUUCCAGGAGCCUGAGAAGGCGGACGACUCUGCAGCACUAGGAACGGAGCUCGAUAGUACUCAACCGUGCAGUUGUAAUCCUUGAACUUAAAAAUUAAAGAACCAGUGUGCUUUGUGAUCGGACUACCAUUAACUUCAUAUAUAGAGCUGUUAUCAGAAACUGCAGAAGACAACAAACAGA